UUUUGUACCUUUUGUAUCAGGGUUGAUUAAAAUUUAUUUAAUGAUUUUAAAUAUCUCGAAAAUAAGGGAGCUAAAUUUAUAUUAUUUUUUUUGUAGCAAUAAAAUUAUAAAUAUAGAUUUAGAAAUUAAAUGUUAAACGAACUUAUUAAUAUCUAGUUUUUUUAGAAAUAAAUUUAAUUUAGAUAUAAUUAUUUUAGUAAAUUAAAUUUUAUUUUAAUUUAUUAAUUUUUAUAUUAAAAAUUUAUGGGAUAAUCUAUAAAUUUAAGAUAAAAAUUUAAUUUUAAUUUUUAAUGUUAUAGAGAUAAUAUUUUUCUUUAAUUUUAAUAAUUUAAUAAUUUAAUAUUUAUAAAUUAAUAAUGAUUUAAAUUUAUAUUUUAUUUUUCUAUAAAAAUUUAUAUUUUAAUUAAUAAAAUAUAGAAAUAAUGAUUAGAUUAGUAAUAAAGCUAUAUUUUAUAAUGAUAUUUUGUAUUAUAUAAUUUAAAGGAAUUCGGCAAAUAUAUUAUUCACCUGUUUAUCAAAAACAUGUCCUGUUGAUUAUAAUUUUAGGUCGAUCUGCUCAAUGAAUUAUUUUAAAUAGCUGCAGUAUGUUGACUGUACAAAGGUAGCAUAAUAAAUUGUCUUUUAAUUGAAGAAUUGUAUGAAAGAAUUAAUGAAAUAAUAACUGUCUCUAAAUUAUUAAAUGAAUUUAAAUUUUUAGUUAAAAUUCUAAAAUUUAAUUAUGGGACGAUAAGCCCCUAUAGAAUUUAAUUUAAUUUUUAAAUUUAUUUAUAAUUUUAAUAAAUAUAUUUAAGAUUAAAUUUGAUUGGGAGGAUUGGUAAAUUUAAUAAACUUUAUCUAAGAUUUAAUUUUGAUAUAAAGAUAAUAUUCUGAAUUAUAAAUUGUAAUUAAAAGAAUAAAUUACCUUAGGGAUAACAGCGUAAUAUCUUUUGAUAGACCAUAUAGAUAAA
rnacentral:rRNA from 1 species